rnacentral:sRNA from 12 species
UAAAGAGGCUUGCGCCCAGGCUCUCGGUACUUCGGAAGAGCUCCCGGAGUUUGACCCCAUCAGGUGGAUAGGGGAACCGUUACGGACGCAUUGCGACGUCUCUAACGACGCAGGCC